UGUAAAAGAGAGGAUGUAGCUGGCAGGAAACGUGUCAAAAGCGAUGGGAAAACUUUGCUUCAACUGAAAUCCCCAGUAGGAGGGUGAAAAUGGUGAAGUCGACAAGUUUAUUCUAGAGUGUGUUUUUUUUUCCUGGAUAUUCGUAGGAAACAAGAGAAACAGUUUCAUGUGUAUUAUACAGUAUAAGCCUUCCAUGGUUUUUUAAUCGAAAAUACUUUCUCUGAAGGAUUUUGUUACAUCUCAAACAUCCCAGAUGAGGAGAGCACUUACCUACGUGCAAUGUCAGCCCUUCUGUGCUGGGAAGUGAUUUAUGUAGUAAAUACUCUUGAAGCAGACUAGGGUGUGCUUACAUGCCACUUCCAUGGAGUGGUCCUGCAGUGGGGAAAUGCUUGUUUUUAGUGGAGUUGGUAAAAUAGCACAGUUGUUUUUACACUUUUCAGUAUAACAUUUCAGCAAAAAAGGGGUUCUUGAGAGCUAAGCACCUAACUUACAAUGACACUGACUUUUUUUGGAUGGACACUUCCUCAGAAUGCAAAUGUUUUUCAGUUUCCUGGGGUUUUUUGAAAUACAAAAAAAGGUGAAGUUGCUCCACUUCUGCAUUUGUGUAACCCCCGCUGUGAAUGGCACUUGGCCUUUGCCUAGUUGGGCUGAUUCUUCUCACAAAGCAAGUGGUUUAUCUGCAGUGCCAACGCCUCGGGACUCUGCAACCUGCAGGUGGGCAGCAGCUGCAUGGUGCGAGGUAUGAUGGAGCCGUGUCACAUCGUGGCCUUCCUUUUAUUACUGGGAAACAACGUGCUUUUAGACUUGGGGUAGGAAACUCAGGGGUCUUAAUGCUUUGACUCUUAUGCAAUGAGGGCAGGAAGGGGCAUUCAGUAGAAAAAGAUGACAGCAACAGAGAAUAGGAUGUCUGCUUUUACGUUGUUGCCAGUGAUACUCUCACUGUUACUCACAGUGCACUUUGCAAGGCUUGCAGUGAGUAGUACUAGAGGAAGAACUUUGUAGUAGACUCUUACUUCCCCAUCUUUACAUUUCCAACCCCAAGUUUAAGGAGGUUACUGUUCAUCCCUUGUUGGAGAAAGUCUAUGUGGUUUUUUCAAAGCUGCUGCUCAUUCUGAAAGUUCACUCACUUCUAACUGCUGCAAAAACAAUAAUGUGGGUGCUCUAGUUGUUAAAUAUACUCCAGUCUUUGAAGGAAGGCAGCCUGUUCAUUGCAGUGUAACGAAUGUGCACAUGUGCGUGGGAACAAGGUGUUGGGAAGCAGGAUUCACACUGAGAUUGCCGGGUUUGUACCAGUUGAAGAUGUCUGAAAAAUUGAUUAAAAACUCUUAAAGUGUGAGUUAGAAGAGGGUGACAGGUUUGUUUUGCUCUAGUAUGUGUAUAUAAACAUAACUUUAUUCCCUUCCUUUUACUUCUCUUACUGUUCAUUAGUGUUUGGAAAGAAUGGGAGCGAGAUCCUCGAAAGUAAAUGCAGGUACUUCCUUCUUUGAGGAGUUUUCUUAUAUGCAGUAUCCUUGACUAAACUGAUACUGUUCUGACUCAAAAGAGCUGCUGGGGGGUAGCUUAGCAGGGGGUGUAUGUGUUUGGGGAAGAAUUGCAUCGAUGCCAAAGGCCUCUGUGAGGCAGCAAGAGUAUAAAUAACUGAUUUUUUCUGUCUGCUGUUUCCAUUUUCAGCCCUCUGAUAGAUAAAUGUUACAGAAACACUGAGUACUCUGCAGCUUUUGUUGCUUGUAGUAUCACUGGAGAAAUUAACACCAGGUUUUGAUUAUUGUUCUUUUCACUUCCAGUUACACCAGAACCCACUUCCACCACUGUCACUGUACAUACCACUGUAUACACCUCUGCAGCUGACUUCAAAGGUUCAGAAGUCAAAUGCAGGCUUGAUAAGUAAAUGUUCCACCUUUUAUUUCCUGUCUUCAAACACAGAGACUGCAGACUCCUUCUGUAAAGGAGGAGUUAUAUAUGUAAUAUGUCUCAUGUCUUGGGGUUUUAAAAGGUUGCAUGGAAUUUCCUAGUCUGUGCACUAGAUAUUUAAUUCAUAGUGAUGCUUAAUGCAGAUAUGAAUCUUUUACGCUCAUGGGGCUGAGAUAAAUGAUAUAUUAUACUUCAGUUUGAUGAACUGGGGAUUCUGACACUAUUUUCUGUGUAUCAACAGCCAUCAAAUACUCUACAUAUCUCUAGCCUUUAUCUCUGGCGUCUUGGUGGCUGUUCUGGUUUUUGCACUCAUCUGCCUCUUCAGAAAAAGUAAGUGGCACAGCAGAGGAAGCAACAGCAGCAUGAUGAUCCAGACCUGGUGGCAGAGAAGCGCUUAACAUCUUGUGUUGCACAUCUCAACACUGAUGGUGGAAGUUUCUACACUCUUUGGGCUGCAUCUUGCAGCAUCAGGGUUUCAGAGUAACUUCUACGGAAGUUACUUUGAAAGAGGCUGAAAUUGUGUCUCCCUUGAAUAAUUAAUGUAGUGGUGAACUGGUCAUUCCUGGCAGUAACUUCUCAUGAAUCAUCCCAAGGGCUGUUUACAUGGAAGAAUUAACUUCUGCACUGAUGAGCUGUGGUGGGUUUUGGGGGUGGUGGCUUUUGGGGGGUUUUUAGGUUGGGUUUUAUGGUCCUGACACUGGCCACACAAAGUGUGUUCUCGCCACAUCCAUCAGUCACUUUCAUCCUUGCCACUUUCAGCAGGCAGGCAGGGGCUCAGAACGCCAAAUUUCACUUUGCAAUGAGAGUCUGUGAUGGGUUUCACAAGCUACAUCUAAGCUACACGCUCUGGUGCUACUCUGUCACCCCACUCUUAAGCCUUUCCCACUCUGUCUGCAAACAGUGCAGACAGCUGAGGCUGGUGUCCCUCUUCUCCUCCCUAGAGCACAAGAGAUCCCACCAAAGCUUACAAGAGCAAGUUCCCCUCCCAACAGUGACCGAGGAAUCUGCUAAGAACACCCAGACUGAGGUUGCCUACACCACUCUGGUCUUCCAGCAGAGUAAGGCCCCAGCAGCUGUGUGACGAUGGAGCUUCUAGUGAAAUGAAGAUACCUGCACUUUCUGAACAUCAGAUGCUGCCAGAACAUCAUAUCAAGGCCUAUCGUGCUCUGAGAAAUAUCAGCACUGCCGUAUAUCUAACAUCAGCUCAUUUUAUAGUUACCAGGGGAAACUAAUGUCUCCUAUUCCAAACUUCUUUGUGGUUGUGGACAAAUUACUUUUUAUACCAUAUUUCCCAAACGGUUGAAAUCUCACUGCACUUGUGAAGUUCCUAUUUAUGUCUUUGCUAUUGCUUUGAAUGACCAAAAUGAUUUGAAAAUGGAAAUGUUACUCUGUGUC
rnacentral:lncRNA from 1 species